CUGAAACAGCGAUACAGCGAUGUGUUUUCCCACAAGUUGGAAAGUGUUACCGAUCCUGUUUACAGACAUUUACUCGUGCGCAUGCGCAAACAAAAAAGCGACAGCACAGUGAGUCAAGCGAGUACUCAUGUUCAUUAUCGGCUACUUUCAGUCAUCAUCAUCUUUAGCAUGAGAUGUCGGCCAUGAGGCCACAGAGAGUCAAGAUUAAACCUAAAGAAAAGGCAGCAUAUUUUCAUCCUUGGAUAAGGACAAGGAUGGAUUCAAUAUAAAAUAUUAUAAUAUUAAUUCAUUCAAAGGUCGAGGAGUGUUUAGUUGCCGCCACUUUCAGAAAGGAGACUUCCUUAUUGAAUAUUGAGGGGAAGUCAUAAGCAAACAGGAAUAUGAAAACUGGCUAAGAGUGUAACGUGAUGCCCUGAAGGUUUUCAUGUUGGAAAUUCAUUGCAAUGGGAAAAAAUAUGUGUUGAAGCAGCUAAAGAGGUUGACUCCCCAGGGAGACUCAUCAAUGAUGAUCAUGUAAACUCAAACAGCAGAAUGAGGACGAUCAUUGUGGAUGGACAGCCUCAUCACUGUUUAUUAGCAAUCAAGGAUAUCAGACCAAGGGAAGAGAUAACCUACAACUAUGGAGACUCUUGACUGGCCACUGAGAUUAAACAUACAGACAGAACUUGGUUUUCACAAAGAGUUAACACAUUGCUGUGUGAUUUUACCAUAAUUUUAACAGUAUUCUCACACAAAAACAACAAGUGUGCCAUGUAAAGUAAUAUUGAAUAGUCAGCUUUGUUCAGUCACUGAGCGCGUUUACAUAGACACAAGUAUCUCAAUUAUGAGGCUUUUCCUGGUUCUGAUCAUAUUCGGUGUAUGAUGUUUACAUGGAACACAAGGAAAUGUGAUUAUGCAUAUCCCAGUACACAUGAUAAAUACUAGUAUCCUGGUCACUGAUGUAUACAUGAUCCAGUUACUGAUUACUGUGUUCUGUUUGCGUAGGCGCCUGUAAUAUGUUUACAAACACAAAGCAGCAAUUCUGAAACCGUUAAUCCAACAUUCCUGUAAUCAUUAACCUUAAAUUAAUUUCUCUGUGGCUGUUGAAAACAAGCCCACUCUGUCUUAGAGCAGCUUUAACACUAUUACACAGCAGCAUUGCAUCAUGGAUCUCCACCUUAUCACUAGUAAUGGGAGACGAGAGCGACAAGAAAUAUUCAACAUGUCUUUUGACCGGUGUCAGGCUGUCACAUUUUCCAACGCUUAGGACAAGGGGAGCAGUGGGCGAAGAUAUGUAGCUGUGACUGGUGUGAGAGGGUUGUCAUGAUGGAGUUCAAUGAUUCAGAGUGGAGGGAACAUUUCCACAUGAGAAGGGUUUCCUUCGACCGGCUGUGUAACACAGUCGAUCCGUUCAAGAGGCUGGAUAAGGUGAACACAUUCAACUCUGAAAUCGGGAUAUGAUGUUUACGCGCACAAACAGAAAAACGGGAUAUUUCAAAAACCUGAUCACAACUGUAAUACUCAUGUCCAUGUAAACACACUCAUUGUAUAGUUUUGCUUUGUGAUGUGUCACAUGAAAACAUAGAAACGUCAGAUGACUCGCCAGUACGAAGCAAAUAUUUUUCUUCUACAUGCUUUUGUUACUGAAAUAUAAAAUAAAUGUUGUACUUCAAUAGUUUAGCUUUAUCAUUCUCCUCUAAAGAUAAUUGUAUUGUUAACUCAAUAAAUAUCAACAGGUACAGUCUUGUUGUGCCUUACUGGUAAUUUAAUGGUAUUUUCUCCCUUUUUCAACAGAUUUCAACAGAGGCAGAUCCUCACUAUGCUGUAAGACUGGGAAAUUUUCAUUUGGUGAUCCAAGCUGUCAAGAAGGUGUCUUGGUUUGAUGAAAAAAAGCACUGCUGCAAAACGCCGAGCCUCGCACUGCAGUUGGGUCACUCAGUGCAAAAGAUAUGUGACAUCAUACACUGCAGAGCUCUAAUGGCAGACAGUGAGCUGUAAAAGUCAACCCAGACUUUUAAAACACUGUAUACCUCAAAGUGGUCUGAACUUGUCUCUCACACAGCUUUGACCACCUUGAGUGAGGAGCGCUUUAACAAACCAUCUACCCUGCCUUUCACAGAAGACAUGCAACGUGUCCACCAACAUCUUCAAAAAACUGCAGGUUUAGCAUCUGAGAACCUGGGAAAGAUGACGUCACCACAAGUCAAUGGUGAACUUUACAGAGCAACUUUGGCAAAAAUACUGUUCAACCGACGACGUGAAGGAGAGGUUGCAAAUGUAACUAAAGGGCUUCCUCGAGAGGGACACGGCUGGCCUCCAUAAAGAUGUUGCUGUUGGCCAGACAAAGUUUGAACAAAAGUCUGUAAACAUUUCAGCCAUGUGGAAAUUAGGGGUAAAAGAGGGCGAAAAGUUGUCGGGUUGCUAUCAGCAGACAUGGUUGACUCAUUGACACUCCUCAUAAGCAACAGAAAAGAAUGUGCAGUUCCAGAGGAGAAUACAUUUUUAUUCACAAGACCCCGCUGUUGUUUAAGGAGAUAUGCAAAUGAGUGUGGUGCUCAGAAUCCACAUCACCUCAGGUCAAAACCGUUACGCAAACAUGUUGCAACCUUAUUCCAGGUCCUGAACCUCAAAAACCAUGAGUUGGACCUGUGACGGCCCCUCUGCUUUGUGCUCGUUGCUGCUGUGCUUUGUUUGCAGGGGCAGGUUCCUGAGCACGCCAAUUAGCAGGAUGGGACACACCUGGGCCCAGGGUGCCCCAUAUCUAAAGUCAGAAGCGGCCAGUUCAGAUCCUCUGUUCUCUCCUCCACACACUCCUGUGUUGCUUUUGGUUCUGUUUCUCUUGUUUCACCACACAACACCCACACAGCAUACAUUCACUCAUCCACUCCCUACAUGACUGAUUUUACAGACUAACCCUACCUAUUGUUAUCUUUUGUUUGUUUUGAGUACUUUGUGUUAAAUAAAUUUACUUUUGUAUUAUUGA